rnacentral:lncRNA from 1 species
AAAUAGAAUUGAGGUUCCUCCCACCUGACCCUCUGCCAGUUUUCGUGUUUAUUCUUACUUCUUUAUACUUGCGCAGUCUAACACAUUUAUUCUUCCCACAGGAGUUACUAUGAUAUGCAUUAGACAUUAAUAUGCACAUUUGAAUGAGGAGUCAGGUUCCAAGUUACAAUAAAAACCACUUGUAAAGAAUUUUCUCUUGAAUUCAAAUCUUUAAACAGUCACAACAGAUUAAAUUAUUUUUUAAGGAAGUUAUUUAGGUAGCAUGUUCUAUCAUACUUGUAGCUCUACUCUUGGGUUGCCAGUGCUGCUGGGUUGCUUAAGAUGUUAACAUACUGACCUUAGGAGGAACAAGGACAUUCUGAUACUGUUGUGCCCAAUGGAACAAACCUAAUGGGAUCCAGGACUCUCUGUGGAUGAACAGGCUACCCCGCAGGGAGACAAUCAGUGGUGACCUUGAAGAUACAGAGCUGCUGUGAGCCUGGGUCUCUGAAUUAUUACAUGGAUGAGAGUGUCCUGCCAAUACAUUCGCCUUUCCAGUAAUGUGUUAUUAAUCAUCGUUCCUCAUUUCCUUUCACUGCUGGGAUUUGACAAGGAUUUUAUUUCACCUUGAAAAACUGCACAUAGUGGAGAGUUUCUUCACUUUAUUCCUGCAGUCUUAACAUACCCUACUGAGUAAAGGUAAAUUGCUUUUUAUUCUGUAUUCUGUUAUGUUUUUGAAAAAUGGUUUUCAAAUCACAGAUUUGAU